rnacentral:tmRNA from 2 species
GGGGUUGUACUGGUUUCGACGGGGAUCAUGCAGCUGGUGAAGCUAUCCGCAUGCGGUGCGUGAAACGGCAAAAUUAAAAUUAAACGCUGAAGAUAAUUUAGCAUACGCAGCUUAAUGCUGCUGUCAGCCUUAAUGCACUCACACAUUAAGAAUCUGGCAUCGAUCUUGUGAGAAACGACGUAUAUUAAGCUUUGCGUAUACGGGCGUAACAUGAAGCUACUAAAGCCAUAAGGGUGCUUGUUUUCGUAUGGUGGAGGGAAUGUGAAAGAACAAGAUAUGAUAGUAGAAGAACAGGGAAUUGGUUUUCGGACAGGGGUUCGAUUCCCCUCAGCUCCACGA